CAUAAACAGAUAGCUAAGGGUUAAUGUCUCUUUCACCUGAAGCACCUGACCAGAGGACCAAUCAGGAAACCGGAUUUUUUCAACUUUGGGUGGAGGGAAGUUUGUGUCUAAGUCUUUGUUCUUUUUCUGCCUGCUUUUCUCUCAGCUAUGAGGAGUGAUUUCUAUUUCCUGCUCUCUAAUCUUCUGUUUCCAAGUUGUGAGUACAGAGAUCAUGUAUUUACAUGUCUAUAGUUGCUGGAGUGCUUUAAUUUGUAUUCUUUUUGAAUAAGGCUGUUUAUUCAAUAUUCUUUUAAGCAAUUGACCCUGUAUUUGUCACCUUAAUACAGAGAGACCAUUUGUAUGUAUUUUUUUCUUUCUUUUUAUAUAAAGCUUUCUUUUUAAGA